UUGACCUCGGAUCAGGUAGGAAUACCCGCUGAACUUAAGCAUAUCAAGAGGGCGGAGGAAGGG
rnacentral:rRNA from 1 species